UACGAAGGGGGCUAGCGUUGUUCGGAAUCACUGGGCGUAAAGGGCGCGUAGGCGGCCCGGUAAGUCCGCUGUGAAAGUCCAGGGCUCAACCCUGGGAUGCCGGUGGAUACUGUCGGGCUCGAGUCCGGAAGAGGCGAGUGGAAUUCCUGGUGUAGCGGUGAAAUGCGCAGAUAUCAGGAGGAACACCGGUGGCGAAGGCGGGUCUCUGGGCCGAUACUGACGCUGAGGAGCGAAAGCGUGGGGAGCGAACAGG
rnacentral:rRNA from 1 species